rnacentral:rRNA from 1 species
UGCAGUCGAACGAUGAUGCCCAGCUUGCUGGGUGGAUUAGUGGCGAACGGGUGAGUAACACGUGAGUAACCUGCCCCUGACUCUGGGAUAAGCGUUGGAAACGACGUCUAAUACUGGAUAUGACUGCCGGCCGCAUGGUCUGGUGGUGGAAAGAUUUUUUGGUUGGGGAUGGACUCGCGGCCUAUCAGCUUGUUGGUGAGGUAAUGGCUCACCAAGGCGACGACGGGUAGCCGGCCUGAGAGGGUGACCGGCCACACUGGGACUGAGACACGGCCCAGACUCCUACGGGAGGCAGCAGUGGGGAAUAUUGCACAAUGGGCGAAAGCCUGAUGCAGCAACGCCGCGUGAGGGAUGACGGCCUUCGGGUUGUAAACCUCUUUUAGUAGGGAAGAAGCGAAAGUGACGGUACCUGCAGAAAAAGCACCGGCUAACUACGUGCCAGCAGCCGCGGUAAUACGUAGGGUGCAAGCGUUGUCCGGAAUUAUUGGGCGUAAAGAGCUCGUAGGCGGUUUGUCGCGUCUGCUGUGAAAUCCCGAGGCUCAACCUCGGGCUUGCAGUGGGUACGGGCAGACUAGAGUGCGGUAGGGGAGAUUGGAAUUCCUGGUGUAGCGGUGGAAUGCGCAGAUAUCAGGAGGAACACCGAUGGCGAAGGCAGAUCUCUGGGCCGUAACUGACGCUGAGGAGCGAAAGCAUGGGGAGCGAACAGGAUUAGAUACCCUGGUAGUCCAUGCCGUAAACGUUGGGCGCUAGAUGUAGGGACCUUUCCACGGUUUCUGUGUCGUAGCUAACGCAUUAAGCGCCCCGCCUGGGGAGUACGGCCGCAAGGCUAAAACUCAAAGGAAUUGACGGGGGCCCGCACAAGCGGCGGAGCAUGCGGAUUAAUUCGAUGCAACGCGAAGAACCUUACCAAGGCUUGACAUACACCGGAAACGGCCAGAGAUGGUCGCCCCCUUGUGGUCGGUGUACAGGUGGUGCAUGGUUGUCGUCAGCUCGUGUCGUGAGAUGUUGGGUUAAGUCCCGCAACGAGCGCAACCCUCGUUCUAUGUUGCCAGCGCGUUAUGGCGGGGACUCAUAGGAGACUGCCGGGGUCAACUCGGAGGAAGGUGGGGAUGACGUCAAAUCAUCAUGCCCCUUAUGUCUUGGGC